AUUGAACGCUGGCGGCAUGGCUAAAACAUGCAAGUCGAACGAGAACCUCGCAAGAGGGGGACAGUGGCGGAAGGGUCAGUAACACGAUCGAAUGUACCCCGAGGUGGGGGAUAGGUCGGGGAAACCCGGCGUAAUACCUCAUGUGCUCUACGGAGCAAAGAUUUAUCGCCUUGGGAGCAGCGGUCGCCCUGUCAGGUAGUUGGCGGAGUAAAAGCCCACCAAGCCGAAGACGGGUAGCGGGUGUGAGAGCACGGCCCGCGACAUCGGGACUGAGACACUGCCCGGACUCCUACGGGAGGCUGCAGUAACGAAUAUUCGCAAUGGGCGCAAGCCUGACGGAGCAAUGCCGCGUGCGGGAUGAAGCGGCUUCGCCGUGUAAACCGCUGUCGGGGAGCAGAAACACUGAUCGCUCCCAAAGGAAGAGACG
rnacentral:rRNA from 1 species